AUUCAGUGAUGUCAUACACGUAGGAUGAUACUGAAUUAACAAAGGGAGUGGGAGUGAGUGACAGGCAGAGUGAGUAAGAGAAGGUUUUGUUCUGCUGUAAACAGGUAUAAUUCGAGGUCCUGCGCUUUAGAGUAACUGAGAUACUGCUCUAAAUAAAAGAACAAAAUUUUAAUAUCAUGGAAAGGUUUACGAGUCUGUUUCUCAUGUUAUUUCUGUGUUCAGGAUGUGAAGCUGCUGAUGUACAUGAAAUUGUUCCAGAUCCCCUGUCAACAACAACGAAACCGGCAGUAAAAUAACGUGAGAGUCCUAAUUGUGGUAUAUGUGUCGACUUAACUGAGGGAUCGGAAUUCUCCUUCAAACAGUAUCAACGUUUUGCAGUGAAAAACAAUACAUGUGCUUCGGAAAACCUAAUAUAUGUAUUAACUUGCUCAGGGUUUCAAGUACAAUAUAAUUGUCAAACUAAAAACAAUCUACGCCAGAGGAUAACGGUACAUAAAUCACAGAUUAAAAUACGGAAAUACAGAUAAAUAGGAUUAAGUAAGCACAUUGAUAUUUGCGCCACAAACGAACAACCAAAUUUUAGAAUUUUCUCCGCUAUAAUUUCAGGGACAAUGCAAUCUAUAAUCAGCGCAUUAGCGAAGAAGCAUAUUUUAUUGCAAAAUAUAAACCUCGUUUGAAUGCUUACACCACAGAUGAAACUACUACAAGAAUAUAGAACAAUUCCAACAACCAAUGCAACGAUUAUAACAGGUCACUGCUACGUCAUUUGAUCAUUAAAAAAGAUUCCACGAACAA